rnacentral:lncRNA from 1 species
AGUAAUGCUGCUCCACUUUCUGGUCCUUGAUGAGCCCCUGCGUAGGCGCUUCCUCCUCUCAGGUCUGCCGCCCUCUAUCCCUCUCAGUUUAAAUUUGUUGGAUAUCUACACUACUAGUUGGGGAAUUUUGGUAGUUCAUUUUGUUUACAUAUGCACGCUGUCCCUUCCUGCAGGACCAGACCCAACCAUCGUCGCCAUAGCACGGCGCCUACCGGCGAAGGACCACCACCUCCCUGACGACGUGCCCAACCCCGCUGACGAGGCCUGCCGCCAAAACCCUCCUCCUUCCUCCUCGUGUCGGGAUGAACAAGAUCCAGCCGGCGCCUGAAGCUCAUCCCACCAGCGUACCUCCUCCUUCCCCUCGCUGCACGGACCGGUGUGGCAUAGCGUCGCCGCCCAGGUCAACUUCUUUCCUCCCAUCAUUGCUCCUGCAUCUCAUAGAUGAGCUGGUUGGUUCGAUGACUUCUUCAUCAGUAUUUCGAAUCAGGCUGUAACACAUGUGUUGCACAGUAGGUGUUUGCAAUAAUGCAAGAGCCAAAAAAGCUUAUUUUUUGUUGUUCUUAUUUUCAGCUGAAAAAUGAGAAAUAAUUUCAUUUUGGUUCCUUCUGUGGUGCUUGAGAUGAAUUAUAAUCAGUUCAUGUGCAUUCGCCCGAGAAGUUCCCUUAUGAAAAAUAAAUCAUAUAGUUCAUGUAGAAUAAAAAGAACAUUUACCAAGAAAAAUUUACUGAAAGUACAUUUGUCAUAUUUUGCGAAGUUCUACAAAAAUAAAAAGAAAAGUUCAAGCAAAACCAAAACGUUCAAAACAAAAACUCAGGGAUUUCACUCAUGAACAAGAAAAGAAGAAAAAUUCUGUAAGUUUCGAGUGUUGUGUGUGUGUGUUGGGGGGGGGGGGGUGCGUUGUUGGUCACCUGGGUGACUGGGUCAGUUCAUGUGCGACCAUUGGAGGAGUUCAAAAAAUGAGAACUCAUGCAUUUCCAUAAAAUUCUGUAGUUUCGUGUGUGUGCUGCUACAAAUAUGAACGAUGUUUUCCAAUCAUACUAGUACGGAUGCAAUCACCUAGAAAAAUGGGUCGUUGGUUCAGUUAUAGGCACUCAACUCUGAAGAUUUUGAAUUUUUGCCUGGUAUUUUAAGUUUGGUUUUUAUCAUAUAAUGUAAAGUUGUAAACAUGUUAACAAUGGUCUUUGCUCCCAGUUCUGAACUUCUUAUUCAGUCUAUUAGUACAGUCGUAGUGGUGGCCACCUCGACGCCUAGCCCGCCAACCCGCGUCGUGCGCUGCCCCGGGGCCCCCGAGCACUGCCGCGCCCCGUCGCCGGUGCCUGACGGUGCAGGCCACCGUCGCUGCCCGACGAAGCAGGCUACCAUCCCUGCAUUGACGAUGCGGAUGUCCAGUCGUUGCUGCAUCUCUCUCUGCCCGUGAAUUAGGUGUUGAAAAUGUUUUCUUAUGUAUGUUUCAGUGGGGAGUCGGAUCAUUUGCUGCUCAAAAUUCGACAAUAAUCCGACAACAAUCGGAGGAGGAAUGCGCAACAAGCAAGUCUAUCAUCGAUGGCAAGGUUGGCCGUGUAUUUUCUUUGAGUUGUCUCUGCUUCAACCAUACAAUUCAUCUAGCAUAAAGUAUCGUCGUUACAACCUUUCAAUUUGGUAACUUGGAGGUAGUUUUCAAAUACUAUAUUGUGACCAAAAAGCAAGGUAGCAAAUUACUAUAGAUACUACUUCAAAAAGCAUGUCCUUGCUCAACUUCUGAACUUCUGAUCUAGAUAUCUUUCUACAAGGAUGAUUCAAUGUUACUACCUCUUUGGAAAGAGUAGCUAAGUAUAUGGUUUCACUUGUUUCUUGUGUUAGCCAACUAGAACUUAUUUUGCUUCUCAGACUUGCUUGCCAAGUUCUUUGUGCAUAUCCUUACUUGAAAACUGGCUCCACCCUUCUCCCGUUGAACCUCUCAUGAACCUCGUGCAUGUACAGCAGCAGCACUAGCCCCCGUUCGUGUCAUGGACAAGAUCAGUUCAACUUGUGCACUUGGCCUGUUUUGUGGGAAUGUCUGAGCAGAAAGAGAAACAAUAUAUUUUUGCCAAUUUCUUCUCUCUCUCUCUCUCUCUCUCUCUCUCUCUCUCUCUGCAGUUAUAGCUAGCAACAGGCCCAUCUGCAUGGUAUGCAAACAAGAGGUAAACCACAGAGACUGCCACUAGUUAUUACAGUGAUUUUGGCCACUAAAUUAUCUGUUUUUCUUUUUUUCCGAGUCAUUCUUGUACUGCCUGCCAUGAAAAAACCCUGAUGAUAGAAUACAAAUAUUUGUGUAUUCUAUCGUCAGUUCACAGAGAAGAAAUUCUUUUUUCUUCAGUGUGUAUUCUAUCGUUAGUUCUGUGUGUAUUUUUGUUCUCUUUUCUUCAGUCCACAAAGAAUAAAUAUUGUCAGUUCAUGAAUAGAGAAUUUCUGAAAUAAACUUAAUAUUAGUUUGGUGUGUAUUCUAUCGUCAGUUCAUGAAAAAAUACAAACUAGUUGGUGCGUGUGCAAAAAUAUCAUCAGUUCAUGUUUUGAAAUUCUGUAAGUUUACAUAUAUCACCUAAAUAAGUAAUGUUUUGUAGCGAGUUUCUUACGUGUCUAUUCUGAUUCAAGUGCCUUGUUCUUCCUGAAACACAAGGUGCUUGUGUUAAUGCCUAUGGGAGAAUAGCACGUACAGGGACUGUGUACUAGUGUUGAAAACAGGAUAAAGUCCUAAGAUAAUGAUGUUCUCCCCUGCUUCCACUUCCAUUCGCCACCUCAGAACCCCGCGCACUACCGCCCUCCCUUACCCCCUGCAGCUCGCCGUGUGCAAGUUCUUCAGUCCAAGUUCUAUGGAGAGCUCGUCUCUUGUUUCAUUUUCCUUAACACUCGGUAACGAAAAUGAUCGUUCAACUUCAAAUAUGUUUUGGACUGAUUGUUCAAGUUCUUUCGUAUAGAAGGUUCAGAAAGUUUUGUUCCUGAAAAUGCACAUAUUUGGAGUACGCCAAUAUAUAUGUAUUUCUGAAUUUUGCCCUUGAGUAAUAGUUCAACAUGUAUUACGCCAUCAAUUCAUAAUGGAAAGGCAGCAAACAGUUCAAUAGAUGUGUGUUAAAAAUGUAACUGUAUAGAGAAACUUUCGUAGUAGUUCGAUGGAAUAAAUCGCAUCAGUUCUGACUCGGAUCCGUUCUUGCCUACAAUGCAUUGAAAAAUCAAUUUUUUUGCCUUUCUUAAGGCUUGAGAAGCACGUAUCUCUAGGAUAUGUGCCAUGUUAAACUUGAGUUGUUUUCAGUUAACACAAAGUGACUGUCUCUUAAGCCUAAACUAAAAUUUAUUUAUGUGAGAGACACCUGAACUGAAGUUGUUCCCAAGUAAAAGAAACUUCAACUUGUUUGAGCGUAUCUGGUUAGGAUAAUUGUAAUAACUUUAGUUCUCGUCAAUGGUAACGGAACAAAAUUUUUGGAUCCUCUUAAAUGUAACUUGAAGAACGCUAGCGCUGAGGUUGGGCAUUGUUUAUCAAUGGUAAGUUGUUCAUAAGGUCGGCCGGCAGAAAAUUUCCUAAGUUCAACUAUGUCGCUAGAGCUUCAGUCCAACUAUGUUGCUUCUGCGAUUUUCCUUAUGCAGAAAAUCACACUGAAGGACGUUCAACUAUGUUUCAUCUCUGAACUUAAACGCGUUUGUUCUUUGAGCUAAAAUUCAUAGAGCUUUACUUUUGAUGAUUCUUGUACCUAUUGUUCAGAAAUCAAUGGUAAAUUUUUUGAUUGCAGCAAUGGCGAUUGGACGAGGGAGGUUGGACGGACUGCAGAUUGGCGAUGUUACCCCCCCUCUCUCAAAGACAAUAAGACCAAAAAGGUUCAGUUAUCAACAUUCAUCUAUUGCUACUGAACUGAAGCAUGUCACUAACUCACUAUUGAACUGAAGAAACUGAAUUGAAGUUCCAUAGACAUGUUGUGUUAUUCUUGUAGUGCAAAAAUGUGUCAUCCCCCUGAAUACGAAAUGUCAUCGAUUUGCCCAUAGUUCCCUUUCUCUUUUCUUGUUCUUGUUUCUACCUCAGCCAGUAAGUUGUAUCCGUGUACACAUUUCUAGUUUCUAUUGCUAUUGGUUCAAAUGAUCAAUUGCUAUAAGUUCCCAUGAUAUUGUCCCAUCAGUUCAAGUGAUCAUUGUUGUCUUGUUUAAGCCGUUUAAGUACAAAAUUACUAGCAUUGAUCUUUGUGCAGCGAUCAGGCCGUUCAGCUCUGGCACCGAAGCCGUUCACCUCUGCCACAGGAGGCCGUUCGACGAAGCAGCGCUCAUCUUGUUGUGUUUUUAAAGUACAUGUUUUAUGUGCUUUUCAGUUCACCUACUUGACGAUUCUAUAGUACACUAGGUGUUUGUGUUGUGCCUUAAUAAGCAUUUGAGAAAACCUUGUAUGGAUCGAAACUACCAUAUGUUCUGUUCUAUUCUUGUAAAUGAAGCUCCACUUCUGUUUUGUUUGAAGUUAUUUGGCAUAAAAAUUAGUAUAUGUUCUACUGUAAAAGACAUAUAAAAUGUCUUGAUGCAUGCUAGCAGAAAUUUGAAAAUACACUCAGUUCAAGUUGUUUGUUGUUAUUCCUACGAGAAAAAUGAAUAUGAAUGUAUGUGAAUGUUGCCCUCAAUUACACUAUAUGCUUGUUCUCUUCAGUUGUAUGUGAAUGAUUUAUUCUUGAGUUCAAACCUGGAAGAGAAAUUAUGCUCAGUUUGUUGCUUGCACU